AUUGAACGCUGGCGGCAGGCCUAACACCUGCAAGUCGAGCGAGCGGCGGACGGGUGAGUAAUGUAUGGGGACUGCCCGAUAGAGGGGGAUAACUACUGGAAACGGUGGCUAAUACCGCAUACUAUCGGAUAACCCAUAUGGGAUUAGCUAGUAGGUGGGGUAAAGGCUCACCUAGGCGACGAUCUCUAGCUGGGCUGAGAGGGUGAUCCGCCACGCUGGGCCUGUGACACGGCCCAGACGCCUACGGAGGCAGCAGUGGGGAUGAUUGCACAAUAGACGCAAGCCCGAUGCAGCCAUGCCGCGUGUAUGAAGAAGGCCUUAGGGUUGUAAAGUACUUUCAGCGGGGAGGCUUUUCCCGCAUAAGAAGCACCGGCUAACUCCGUGCCAGCAGCCGCGGUAAUAC
rnacentral:rRNA from 1 species